rnacentral:rRNA from 1 species
UACAGAGGAUGCAAGCGUUAUCCGGAAUGAUUGGGCGUAAAGCGUCUGUAGGUGGCUUUUUAAGUCCGCCGUCAAAUCCCAGGGCUCAACCCUGGACAGGCGGUGGAAACUACCAAGCUGGAGUACGGUAGGGGCAGAGGGAAUUUCCGGUGGAGCGGUGAAAUGCGUAGAGAUCCGGAAGAACACCAGUGGCGAAGGCGGCCCGCUGGGCAGUGGCUGACGCUGAGGCGCGACAGCGUGGGGAGCAAACAGG